CUAAAUGGGGUUCUUUCGUCAACAAUUCCAUCCUAAAACUGAAUCUAUCUCUGUAAGACCAUUUACUAAGUUACUUCUUGGCUCUUUAUUUGUAUGAUUGAGUUAUCAAAUGGGCUUUUAAUUUCUUAUGGCCUGAUGUUUUUCAGUCCAUUUUUGUGACACAAGCACCUUAUGGAUUGCCAGGCAUAGAAUAGGUUCUCAAUAAACUCUUAUUGAGACUAGAUAUAUCAGUAGAUUAUUUUGAGUGAUUUUGUAAAUAACCUGGCCAACUAAGCAGAAAAAGGUAAAUGAUGAAAAAAGAGACAUAAUUUUCAGUGGGAUUCAGGCAAUCCAGUUGGUUUUAGAAUUGCACAAGAGAGAAGAGCUCUGAUGCAAUGUGCUGAUAUUGGAAUGUUUAGAGUUAUGGAGCUGCUAGCUGUGUUUCAGAGCUGUGUAACAGAGUAAGAAACAGCUUCCAAAUGAAAUAGAUAUGAAGGAGUACUAAAGAGUGACUUCCCAGCUUCUAGCUGACUGGCCUUUUUCAUUGGAAGUGGUGUUUCUGAUGUUUUUCCCCUCAGAAGAUGACUUCGUGGGAACUCUUUUGGUAGUGAAUGAUACCAGUAAAUCCCUGAAACAAGACUUUUCAGACAAAGAGCCUUUUCGCUUACCUGUUGUCCAAGGGCCAUCCUCUGAAGGUGACAACCUCAAAGGUGAGGUGGAUUUGUUACUGUGGAAGCCAUUACUUCUAUCACCAGCUUCACCAAAACAAUGAUACAGUCCUCCUUAUGCAUGGAGACUCCUCUCUUUCCUGUGUUGCAGUGGACACCUCCUGCAGAUAAGAAAUGCUUAACUGAGAAAUGCUCAUAUUGGGAUAUCAUCGAUGAGACUUUAAUUUGGGCAUGGUGACUGUUUCCCUUGCUGCCACUUGACUCAAUCCCAGGAGCCUCAAUAGAGGAAAUAUUAUUGCACAAGAAACUCAAAAUGAUGGAAUUGCUCAGUGCUCCCAUAAAUAUACAUUUAUGAUUUUCAUUUGCCAUGUGGUGAAUUUUAAAAAUAGGAUAUAUUAAAAAGAAAUUGCAUGAAUUUUUUCAAAAAUUCAAAGCAUAUCUAAAUAUCUAAUAUAUAAAUUAAGUGCCCUCCUCUCUCCCAAUUCUAUCCCCCAGAGUUUUUCUCUAUUAAAGUAGUUGUGUGCAUUCUUUAAGUGGAUAGAUGCACACACACACGUGCAAGCUAUUUUUGGGGGGUUCUGGAAGUGGGGCCAUAUUGUACAUAUUCUUCUGCAAAUUGCCUUUCAUUUAACAGUCUUUUCAGUGCACUUUUUCUAUUUAAGUAAUACACAUCUGUGUCAUUUGUUGAAUGACUGCAUGACUGUUUUGUAGGUCAAAUAUAAUUAAAUGUUUUAAGCAUUUCUCAUUCAUAGAUAUUUAUGUUAGCACCAAAUUUCUGUGCAGUGAACCUCCCUCUAUAUUAGUAAUUUUGCACUUGUCUAUUAUAUCAUAAUAAAUUACUUAACAGUUGAAAUACGGGGAUUAAGGAUAUGCACAUUUCAAAUUUUGAAAAUUAUUACAAGAUUUCCUUAAAAAUAUGGUAACAACUUAUCCUCAAAUGGCAAUGAAUAAGAUUGCCAGCUUUCCCACAGCCUCACAGAUAAUGGAUUUUAUAAAUAUUUAAAAUAUUUGCCAAUGUGAUAGCCCAAACUAUUGUCUUAAACUGUAUUUCUUUUGUUUUUGAGUUUGAUCAUUUUUUCAUAUGUUAUUAGCCAUCUGUAUUUUUUAAUUUCCUCUUUAUGUCUGAUUUUGGGCAUGGGGGGAGGUUUUAAUCUCUUCCUGAUUUUGAAGAGCUCAUUUAUUAUUGGGGGAAUAAGCUUUGGAUUGUCAAGCAUUACAGAUAUUUUUUACACACUUUUAAACUUCAUUUUUGGUAUAAGAAUGUGUAUGAUUGUUAUAUGUCUAAGUAUAACCAUGUUCGCUUCUAUGACUUCUAAGUUUCAUGUCAUUUUGGAAAGAUAUUUAUACUGAUUCCAUAAAACCCUUCACCUAUGUUAACUUCUAAUUCUUUUGUGUUUUUUUAAUUCAAAUUCUUAUAUCAUGAGAAAUUUUUUUGAUUUGAAAUCUUAAAGUUGCCAAGUUAUUUGCCAUGAGUUGCGAUUAUUUGCCAAUAAUUGCCCAUUUAUCUGUAAUGCCAUCUUGCACAUAUGCUGUAUUCUCAUCUGUGACUGGCUCCAUUUUUGUUCUGUGGAUCUUUGUGUCUCUUCUUCUGCCUCUUGUCUCAUGUGUCUUCUUGUUGGGAAGAAAUUACAGUUUAGACUGCAAUUUCAUCAACUUUAAUAAAUUAAUAUAGGAGAGAAUUGGUUUUUAAUAAUAUGUCUUCCUAUCCAAGGAUGAGGUAUGUCUUUCUUUUUAUUCAAUAAUUUUAAUUACUGUUAAUAUUUUCACUUUGUGAUGGGGGUAUUUUCUUUCACUUUAUUUUCUUACUUGAUAAUUUUUCUGUGUCUGCAAGUUUUGUUUUGUUUUUUGGGGUAAGUGGUCACUUUACCCUUUCUCAUGACUUUUCAGAUUUUUUAAAAGUACAUACUAAAUCCUUUGCAAAUACUGAUAGUUUUGAUUCUCCCCUCCCAAAUGAUCUGCAUUUUAGUUAUGUUGAUAAAAUUCACUGACUGGGACUUUCAGAGCACUUAAACGAUUGUGGAAAUAUUGUCCAUCCUUGAUUUAAUGAUAUUGUAAUGGAAUGCUUCUUGGGUUUGACCAGCACGUUGUUGUUGGUCUUUUACCCGAAAAGACUCCCAGAAAGAGCUAUGAUCAAGGAAAGCUGAGUUUAUUAAACCUACUGCAGCAAGGGAAAACACCACUUUGACAAGGUUUAGUAGUGUUUCAAAGCAGGAAAUUAGGACUUUGGGGUCUGGGCUAAUGUCGUUUGAAGAGGGCUUUUCAAGGCACGGAACUGGUUAGGAAUGGGCGGAAUUUGACAUGCAGUAGUUUAAGGUUUGUGAAAGAGUAAGGUAGGAACUUGAUGUGAGUCUAGAUAACCAAAUUUGUGUCUGAUACAUGAUCUGUUUGCCUAUGUGAGUUAGAUGUUAUCAAUGAUAGAAGAGCUAUUUGUCGAUGAGCAAACUGUGAAUUUACAUAUUUGUUUGCAGUUCUGUCUUGUUUAUAAGACACUGCUGGGGGUGGUAUCAGGUCUUAGUCCCAAUAGGUAAGUUAUUUUGAUGUGGGUGAUCUCAAUUAUCAAUGUAAUAUGCUAAUUUUAAAUUUGAGUUGAUUUUUGUAUCAUGUUAGGAAAGUCUCCCACUUUUUAUAUAAUAUUGCUAAAAAUUUUGAUCAAAAUAAGGUGGCAGAUGUAAUCAGAUUCUUUUUGCAUCAACGAUUGUAUUAUUCUUUAAUUAAACUUAUAUCAUUGUGAAAUAAUUCAUUUUCUAUUAAUGAAAUUUCCUUUUAUUCCUGGAAUGAACAAACCCCAUUUGGUAAAAACGUGUUUUACUCUUUAGAUUUACUACUGAAUUAUGAGUAUCUUAACUUGAUUUAGAAUUUUUGCAAGUAUGCUAUAUUGAAUGAAAUUGAUUUGUAAUUCUUUCUUGUUCUCUUUUUGUCAUAUUUUGAUAUCAGUUUUCUGGUUGUCCUCAAUAAUUUUGAGGAUUUUCCUCUUACUCUGUGCUCUAGAAUGGGUAGAAAAGCUCUAGUAUUAGUAUUAACAGUUAAGCAAACACAUCAAUGAAAUCAUCUGAACUCUUUUUUGGUUUUGGUGGCUUGGAGUAGAACUGAGGCUAACUAGAAAAUUUUCUCACUUUUUUUUUGUUAUUAUUGCUUGUUUUUUGUUUUAUAUCUUAUAUUUAACUUGUUUUCUCCUAGAAAAUCACAAUCCAAGCAGAUUUUCAAACAAAGUAGCAUGAAGUUACACAGAGUGUUCUUUAAUCACUCUAUUAAUUUCUCUGCUUUCAAUCAAUAUCCAUUUUCCUUCCAGUUUUGGUUGUUUAUGCUAUGCCUUUUUUAAUGAAGUAAGUUUGACAUGUGGGUUUCUAGCCUCACUAACUCUCCCUUCCCCUCUCUCCUAAUCAGCUCUUUGGUAUAAUUUAUCAGUGUUUUUAUUUUUUUUGAUUGUUCUUGUUUAUUCACAUGGUUUUUUUCUGAAUUUCUGUUUUUUUAAAUAAAUUCUUAAACAUGUGUAA